GACUCCAAUAUAUCCUAUUGCUUGCCAUUUCUAUUUGUCACCAGGAACUUCUGUGUGGCCAGGGUUGUGCUGAAUCUCACUGAAAAUAUAGGAGUUUGGACUUCUUUCUCUAGGUCAGAGGUGAGCAAGCUUUUUCUGUAAAGAGUCAGAGAGUAAAUACUUUAGGCUUGCAGACCGUAUGGCCUGUGUUGCAAAUACUCAGCUUUGCUGUUGUAACUUAAAGGCAGCCAUAGAGAACAUGUCAACCAAUGGGCACGACUGUAUCUAAUAAAACUUUAUUAUGGACCCUAAAAUUUAAAUUUUAUAUAAUUUUACAUGCCAUGAAAGGAAUCUUUUUACAUUUUCAAUCAUUUAAAAAUAUAAAAUCCAGAUGAUGUCAUCAAAAUGAUGACAUAGGAGACGCCAGCUUCCAUUCCCCGCCAAAGAUCAGUACUUAGACAGCUAUCCACUAACAUAAACAGCUCCAGGAGAGCUCUGGAGUCCACUUAAGAAACUGGCUGCACCCAGGCUUUCUUGGGGGACCCUGGAAAAGGCUGUGUUGGUCUAACUAUGUACACAUGGAGAUGGCAUGGGGGUGAGGGUGAGUAUUCAGCAGCCUAGAUGGGCAUUUGGCCAGUUCUUGUCUGAAGAGGAGCCCAGGUCAGGGGAACCUCUGAGUGCACCUCUGUCCACACCUCACCCAGAGUGGAGGGACCCAGGGCCACCUUUAUGCUGAGCUCGUGCUUAUGCAGUUCUGAAGUUAAUCCCUCCUUGGAUAAUUGGGAAACUGAGGCCCAUAGAGAGGCAGGAACUGGCCCAUGGCAUACAAUAUGCAGAAUCCAGAGGUAAGAGUGUGUUCUGACCUUCUAGGCCAAGGCUCAAACCUCUCGCAUAGGGUUUGCUUUGGGAAUUAGAAACCAUAAGGUCUGGGGAAGCUCUUGCGCAUCCCUCCCUCUGUGGGGGCUAUUUUCUUCUGGGCAUCCAGAACAUGAGCACUGUCACACACAUGCACACAGUGACAUUAGAUGUAGGGACUAUGGGGUGCGAUCAGAAGAGAAGUAGACAAAGGGGAGGUGAUAAGAGAGAGAAAAAAGAGGUUGGAAGCAUUACCUACGGGUGACACCACUCCUCCAAUUUUAUAGGUAUCAUCCCACACAGGCCUGAGGACAUCUCUAGGAAGCACAUGCUACAAUGAUCCUCACUGUGCAGACAGGAGGCAGACAGACCCUGAGAGGCACAAUGGCUUCUCCAGGAUCAGGAACAAGAUGAAAAUGGAUCAACGGUGAACAGGAACGAGACCCACAUGGUGUGGCCCAUCCAGGCCGGCACACUGGAGAGGCUGGGGGAGAGCCUGGUGCCCGCCUUCCUGCACAGCGACAGCACUUACACCCACAGCCUCCUGGGCACAUGCAGAGCUUUUGCCACCACCCAACAGGUGCUGGAGCUGCUGUUUAAAGGUAAGCACCCUGCCCCUGCACAGCACAGUGGGGAUUCGGCUGCCUGCUAGCUCAGAGUCUUCAGAAUGCAGCUCUCUGAGCCUCAGUUUGCUCCUCUGCACAGUGUGGCAAAUAGAGCUUCAACCUCAUGUGGAUAUUGUAGGGACUCACUGGGAUGCUCGUGGGAAGCACUCUGUGGGGCUGGCCCUGGGGACAGGUCUGCUGCAGGGGCUGUGGUUGUACUAAUUAGUCAUUUUCGUCUUCUACAUAAUGAAGCCUCUGCCUCAUCCAUCAUUGUCCCCGUGGCCUUGGGCUGAGCUGUUUUCCCAUUUGAAAAGGAGAUUUGAGAUUCCAUCUAGGGGUCCCUGUCCUGGGUGAAGCCAGAGCAGAGAUCCCUGGGGAUGAGAAGGAGGGCCCUCGGCCCACUCAGACAUCUGUGAUGGGGCUGGUUGGAGCUCAUUCAUUCAUCAUAUAGAGAUGAGGCCCCACUAGGUGCAGGCAGUUUUCUAGGCACUGACCAUAGUCCAGUGCACAGAGCAGACACAGCCCUGCCCUCCAGGGCUCCAUUCUAGUUGGGAGUCACACAGUCACACUAGACUUCUCAGGAGCUACUGUCCACAGUAAAGUCGAUGUGAUCCCUCCUGCCUCCUCUAGAUAUGGAUGCAUCCUCCCUUCUUCUGAUGAGGUUGGCGGACCUCUGCACCAGUUGAAGUGUGAGUGGGCUUUGGAUCAAGUAGGAGGGCCGCCCUGCUCCACACUGAGGGGAGUGCAGGACCCGUGAAUUGAGGGUGCUGGCAGAACCCAGAAUCUCAAAUCUUGUGAUUCCUGUGAGAAGGCAAAGGUCUGACGGCUUCCCCUAGAAAAGAAAAAAACCAGUCAAGGAGAGCUGUGCCUGGGGUUUUGAGUGCUGUGGGAGAGCAGAGGGAGCUGGAGGAUGGACUUGGUCCCCAUGAGAAUCCAUGCCUGUCCCCUCGCCAUCCCAGUCCUGUCUCCACCACCAUCCUGGAACUUGGAACAGGAGGUGUGGGGAGCAUCCUGCUUCCUAAUCUCAUAGAACCUCAGCACUGGGUGCUCAGCCUCUGCUCAGGCGACUCAGUGAGUGCUCAGGGGCCAAAUGACUCCCUCCUUAUUAGAGAUUAAUGUCAGGGGAUGCUGACCCACAUGGGGCACCUAGUGAAUCAGGCAGCAUGUAGGCACAGGAGCUAAGGUUUGAGGUAUGAGGAGGGCCCUGGGAAGCCUGGGCAGGAGACAAAGUCCAUUAUUCCCUCAUCAGUCAGAUAUUCACAAAGCCCCUACUGUGUGCCAGUGAGUGCAAUGAACAGAGCAGACUCCACUGCUCCCUGCCCUCAUGGAGCUGACAUCCCAGGGAGGAGGGAGCAGGGAGACAGACAGAGGACUGUGUCAGGCUUCCCUGAAAAGGGGGAAAGGUGGUCACACCAUUGAUGAAGGCAUCUCAUUUACGAAGGCUUUUUGCCAGCCCUUCCUUAGUGACCAGGUCUGUCUCUGCCAGGACUGCCAGAUUGGAAGUGGACAGGAGGAGGAUUGGCCUCGGAAAGCCAGGAGCACGAGGCAUAGGAGCCCGGGCUCCUGCGGGGGUGCCCUGGGAAGGCAAUGUGGAAGGAAAGGCCAAGCCUCUGACUCUGCUGCCCACCUGCCUAUCCCCAGGGCCAUAGCCUCUAUCCUGGGCACUUGGCUGGAUCAGUACUGUGAAGAUUAUUUCCAGCCCCCAGAAUCCCUCUGCCUGAAGAUGCUGUUGGCCUAUGUGCUGGUCAACAUGCCCAGGCUUGGACCUGGAGUGCCAUGCCCACCUUCUCCUGGCACAGCUGGAGCACCUUGAGCCCACUGAGGUGGAAACUGAAGCACCAGCUCCAGAGCAAGAUCAAGAACCACCUCAAGACCUAGUGCCAGCUCAAACUAUGGUGACAGCUCCAGCUCCAGCUCCAGAAUGAGAGCAGACUAGAGCCACAGCUCCUGUUCAAGCUGAAGAGUUAUGCCAGUUCCACAUAAAGAGCCAGAGCAGCCACAGGCAACUGCUCUCAUUUAAGCUAAAGAAUUAAGCAACUACAUCAGCUUCAGCUUUAGAAUCAGAGCAUGCUCAAGCCACAGCUUUAAUUUAGGCUCAAGAGCUAGAAGGAGAAACUGCACCAGCUUCAACUUCUCUCAAGUGCAGAUUCAAACCAUAGCUCUCCUUCAAGGUAAAGCCCUGGAACCACCACCUGCACCAUCUCUGGCGUCAGAGGAAGAGCAGGCCCAAGCUAGAGCUCUCAUUCAGUUUCAAGAACUAAAACAAACACAUAUUUCUAGACCUGGAGCAGGCUCAAACUAGAGCUCUCAUUCAAGUUGAAGAGUUAGAACAACUUCCUGCACCAUCUGCAGCUUCAGUGCGAGAGCAGCUCCAGCCAGAGCUCAAGUAAGCUCAAGAGCUGGAACAAGCACUUACCAUCAUGAGUUCCAUGGAGCCGAUGACAUAGGGUGGGAGGUGGGCCAGGGCGGCGCUCAAAGCUGUGGGUGGGAGCAGUGCAAGAAGUACAUACUGGUGUGUUUGCAUGGCAUGCCAGCCGAGCAGACUUCAUGUAGUGGAGGUUGGAGUUAUGCAGACUGUCCCAGUGUUCUCUGUUUGGUAUUCAAAUUAAGAGGGUACUUAGUACCUCCAUGGCCUUCAAAAACAUCACAUCCAAAAUAACUGCUGGGCUUAAAUGAUGGCUUGGAGCUGCCUCAGAGCCAAGAGGAGAAGCUGGCCCUGCCUGCCCCUUCCACCCCAACCUGGGUGAAACUUCAGGGACUGGACUGCUUUCCCUGGGCACUUCUCCCCUUCCCAGCUCUUCCUCUUUCUUCUGUUUGUGGAGGAGGGGAGAUGGUUCUGAAGAAAUGAACAAACAAUACAAAAAAUUUAAUGGAACCCUGCUCUCUCUAUGAGAACAAGCCCAUGUUAGCCUGCUAGAGAACAAGAUACCAUGGAGGAGAACCAAGGUGCCCAGUCGAUGGCCAGCCAACCCACAGAAGCAGAGCCCCAACCACACACCCACGAAGAAGGCCAGUGGAGAUCAGAAUGGCCCAGCUGAACCAAGCCUAAACUGCUGAGCAGCUCAAUCAUGAGCUAAGUAAAUUUUGGGGUUAUUUGCUACACAGCAAUAGCUAAUUAACAUGUGCACUCAUUGCAGAGGAGACGCCAGGAUUCAAUACAUGCUCAUUUAGGGUGCUACCAGGCAAACGGUAGCACCCUAAAGAUCCUGAUGUCCUUUUCUCCUUAUUUAAAGCUGGAUCUCUUGAGUUACACAGAAAGACAUGCAGACAUGCGCUUGGUGCGUAAACGCACACAGGACCCCACACCAUAGGAGGAAAUAGAAACCACAGCCUGACCACUAGGGCCCAACGUCAGAUUUCAAAAUAAGGAGUUUGCCUUUAAUUUAUUCCCCCAAAUCUGAACUCUGGAGGCAAGACUGUGGACAGAUCUGAAGACGUGGGGUUCCCCCCGUUAGGGUCUCUCCUUCCUGUCACUCCUGUCUGAUCUCUGGGAAGUGGACGGGCUCAGACCAAGCAGCAGCUUGGAAGCACAGGUCUACCUGUGGAAACAUCCUGUUUGCAGCCCUCUGCUCUUUCUUGGGGUAUCGUCUCUCCGCACCUUGGGCCUGUGGAGAGAUGCUGUAGGGAGGGGGUGUUCUGUCGCCUCUGGCACACAAGGGGGUUCAGGUACCUCACUGCCCUGAGGUCAGAGGAGUCACAGUCCCGAGAGCUGCACUCUGCAUGUGGCAGCCACUCCCACCUGUGGGCCCUGAGCCUGGGAUGGGGUCUGUCUGAACUGAGAUGUGCCAGACAAGCAAGCCACAGAGCAAAUUCUCAAGAUUUAAGUACAAAAAAAUGAAUGUAAAAUAUUUUAUUAGUUUAUA